rnacentral:rRNA from 1 species
UCGGAUCUUUGAGAGCGGCGCACGGGUGCGGAACACGUGUGCAACCUGCCUUUAUCAGGGGGAUAGCCUUUCGAAAGGAAGAUUAAUACCCCAUAAUAUAAUGACUGGCAUCAGUUCUUAUUGAAAACUCCGGUGGAUAGAGAUGGGCACGCGCAGGAUUAGAUAGUUGGUAGGGUAACGGCCUACCAAGUCAACGAUCCUUAGGGGGCCUGAGAGGGUGAUCCCCCACACUGGUACUGAGACACGGACCAGACUCCUACGGGAGGCAGCAGUGAGGAAUAUUGGACAAUGGGUGAGAGCCUGAUCCAGCCAUCCCGCGUGAAGGACGACGGCCCUAUGGGUUGUAAACUUCUUUUGUAUAGGGAUAAACCUACUCUCGUGAGAGUAGCUGAAGGUACUAUACGAAUAAGCACCGGCUAACUCCGUGCCAGCAGCCGCGGUAAUACGGAGGGUGCAAGCGUUAUCCGGAUUUAUUGGGUUUAAAGGGUCCGUAGGCUGAUUUGUAAGUCAGUGGUGAAAUCUCACAGCUCAACUGUGAAACUGCCAUUGAUACUGCAAGUCUUGAGUGUUGUUGAAGUAGCUGGAAUAAGUAGUGUAGCGGUGAAAUGCAUAGAUAUUACUUAGAACACCAAUUGCGAAGGCAGGUUACUAAGCAACAACUGACGCUGAUGGACGAAAGCGUGGGGAGCGAACAGGAUUAGAUACCCUGGUAGUCCACGCCGUAAACGAUGCUAACUCGUUUUUGGGUUUUCGGAUUCAGAGACUAAGCGA